rnacentral:rRNA from 1 species
GAUGAACGCUGGCGGCGUGCCUAAUACAUGCAAGUCGAGCGAACGGACGAGAAGCUUGCUUCUCUGAUGUUAGCGGCGGACGGGUGAGUAACACGUGGAUAACCUACCUAUAAGACUGGGAUAACUUCGGGAAACCGGAGCUAAUACCGGAUAAUAUUUUGAACCGCAUGGUUCAAAAGUGAAAGACGGUCUUGCUGUCCCUUAUAGAUGGAUCCGCGCUGCAUUAGCUAGUUGGUAAGGUAACGGCUUACCAAGGCAACGAUGCAUAGCCGACCUGAGAGGGUGAUCGGACACACUGGAACUGAGACACGGUCCAGACUCCUACGGGAGGCAGCAGUAGGGAAUCUUCCGCAAUGGGCGAAAGCCUGACGGAGCAACGCCGCGUGAGUGAUGAAGGUCUUCGGAUCGUAAAACUCUGUUAUUAGGGAAGAACAUAUGUGUAAGUAACUGUGCACAUCUUGACGGUACCUAAUCAGAAAGCCACGGCUAACUACGUG